CGACACAUUACCAUAAUAGCAGACAGAUGGUCAGGCUUUGCCCUUAUUAUUGGAAUUAUCAUACAUAUCACAGGAGUGCUGAGAUUCCUCGGCCAAGAUUGUCACUUGACAGGCACAUGGUCAAACACAUCCUUUGCUCUGCAGAGGUUCCAGUCUAAAAUGUAGGAACAGGUAAGAGAAGGAAAAAAGGGAUACAGAGGAGUCCUGAUGUUCAGCGGUGUCUGCAGUGCAGCAGGACCAACUCCAUAGAACUUACCACAGCUUCAUAGGUCUGCCUUGAAACUGUCCUGCUCACUUGAGAUCUGCACAGCUCCCUGUAGAAAAGGUGCCCAUCUGUGCCCAGUCUCUCCUGUGGUGCAAUAAUAAAUAAAUUUAAAUAUUACAGAAUCACAGAAUCACAGAAUGGCCCAGGUUGGAAGGAACCUCAAGAAUCAUGAAGCUCCAAUCCCCCCGCCACAGGCAGGGCCACCAACCUCCUCAUUUAAUACUAGACCAGGCUGCCCAGGGCCCCAUCCAACCCGGUCUUGGACACCUCCAGGGACGGGGAAUCCAUAACCUCUCUGGACAGCCUGUUCCAGCACCUCACCACUCUUAUAGUAAAGAACUUAAUAUUAGAAAUUAAUAUGAGACAGCUACAUGAAGUUUAUCUAUGUCGAAGACUGUUCAUUGUUGGAGGCCAUCCUGUCCUGGUUGUCCCUGACGCAACGCACAAAUUUCAUUAGCAUCUCCUUCUUAUGUUACCAAUACAGACUGGUUUGUUUUAUCUUUGCCCUUUCUCAUUAGGGGAAAAUAUCUGAGUAGCUAGUAAGAGUGUAGAGAAAGAUCCACCACCAGAUAGCAUGUGUGCACUUGCUUGUUGUAAACCCACAAGGAGUCACAUGCUAUUUUGCUUCUAAUUUUGCCAAGAUCAGAAAAAUCAGUUUAACAGAAAAAACAAGUACUUACCCACAAAGGUAAAAGCCUGGGGGUAAGAGAUAAGCAUAUGGGAUAUUAUCAAGGUAGGUCACGUUUUUCUCUAAAGUUGAGUAAAUUCCUAGAAUUGAUAAAAUCUUGCAGCCAGAUUUCAUUCGAUAUGAAAAAGCAUUUGUGGGAGGGAAGCAUCUGUUCAUUAUCACUCCUGGGCUUAAUUGUAUGUUUCUUAUCACCCGGUGGUGUUUUCAUACUUACCGCAUGCACUACCGUAUGUCCAACUUCAAAGAGAGAAAAGAAAACGGAGUGACUUGUUUCACAAAGGAAGAUAGCUUCAAAUGACCUGGUUUCCUUCUGAGAAAAGAGAAGGGACAAAAACUGGGGAUGGGUAUCUCCUGUAGGAACUGAACUGACAAUAUGAGAAUAGCAGAGCGUUUGGGAAGAACAUACGGCUCCGAGGAGCUAGUUAUCGCUCUGCCUAGUGAUUGCAGGAGCUCUUGUGAUUCAUUUCUCCCAGGAGAGAAGAAGUUACCCUUUUGCCUCACUUAAAAACAAAAUGUACAAAACAAAACAAAACAAAACAAAGUAAAAUAAUGGCUGUUUCUCUUGGAAAAGCAUAUUGCAGAUCAGAAACACAAGUGAGUUAAGGGGAAAAGGCAAAAAGCCAUAGAGAUGCAGAAAAGAAACUGGAAAAGAGAACAAACCAAAUUGUUUUCAAAUCACUUUUCCUACUUUCCCAUGAAAAAAAAAAGGAAAUAAUGAUUGCAGGGCUGAAGUAGUCCUCUCAGUGUGAGUUUAAUUAAUUUAAGCGAGAGAGUCCCCAGGAACCUUGUCAUAAUUCCCAUCAAAAACACUAUAGUAAGUAACCCCAUUGCUAUAGAUGAGGGAUUUUUUCAUUACUGUUUCAAUCUCAGCCCUUCAGAAAUCCUUUUUGUAUUUCAGCCAUGACUCAGCUGAUUUAGGUACUUUAAUUCCUCUUUUCUUCCUUCCUGCUUUCCAUAUUGUUCUGGAUCCCCUAACAAUGUGUACAUGAAAUUCAUGCUGUGAAAGAUGAGAGGUAAUCUCUGAUAGCUACUCGAAAGCUCAAGUUAAAAAUAAUCUUGUGGCACAAAGGGCUGCUUUUCCUUGUUCUGUAGAUUUACACUCUGUAUUGGUCCCAUGCCAGGGAGUUUGCUAAGAUGUUUAUUUCCCUGCAUACAGCCAUGGCAGCGUGAAAGUCUAUUGAACUACACUCAAGAGUAGCCAUCCGCUGUGCUUCCAUGUCAUAUUGCAUUAGAAAAGUAAGUGGACACCUUACAAUGACAUCCGAGGAUUUCUUCUUCCCACUGCUCUAAGAAGCUUAAGUUCUAAAAACUGUUUGUUUAUCCAAAACCUCAUUAUAGCAGACACUGAGAAUUAGGUAGUUUCUUUCUUUUUUUUACUCCCUCGCGUGAGGCACUGCCCAGGGCUUUCUCUUCUCUCGACCCAGAGCCCCAAACACGGGACAUACAGGGUGAUUUAGGGAGCCAGUGCGGGCCCAUCCUUUCCCCAUUUCUACACAUUUCCUUUGACUGAAAAUUGGACCAGAGUCACUUACAGGGCUUUGCCAGAACUCAUUUGAUUCGGUCUCAUUUCAGGUAUCUACUAAAUCCAAGCAGCUGUAUUAAUAUUAUGCUAUGUUUCCACUGUUUGAAUUUUUUUAAGUUUGGGAAAUAUAAAAAUGGUGCUUUGAAUUGUAGCUUUUAUUGGCUGCAGUAUAGUUGAAGUAUGUUUUCCAAUUGCUAUUGACCACAUAAAAACAAUACAACGUAUCAAUAUACUAAUUUCACAACAACAAAAAGUAGAACACAGAAAAGGUUGUAUAUGUUCCCUGCAGCCAAUGCAGUUUCUAAAGGAAUUUCAGUUUUUGCCUCCUUUGAAUUUUUAUGUUUCCUGUGCAGAUUUAG
ensembl:lncRNA